GACGUAGGGCGCGAGCGUUGUCCGGAUUUAUUGGGCGUAAAGAGCUCGUAGGCGGCUUGUCGCGUCGUCCGUGAAAACCUGCGGCUCAACUGCAGGCUGGCGGUCGAUACGGGCGGGCUAGAGUUCGGUAGGGGAGACUGGAAUUCCUGGUGUAGCGGUGAAAUGCGCAGAUAUCAGGAGGAACACCAGCGGCGAAGGCGGCGCUCUGGGCCGGUACUGACGCUGAGGAGCGAAAGCGUGGGGGAUCAAACAGG
rnacentral:rRNA from 1 species